rnacentral:rRNA from 1 species
CAGUCGCCACGGGAAAACGAAGGGGGCUAGCGUUGCUCGGAAUGACUGGGCGUAAAGGGCGCGUAGGCGGCGAUCAAAGUCAGGCGUGAAAUUCCUGGGCUUAACCUGGGGACUGCGCUUAAUACAGGCAGUCUAGAGUGAGGAAGAGGGUUGUGGAAUUCCCAGUGUAGAGGUGAGAUUCGUAGAUAUUGGGUAGAACACCGGUGGCGAAGGCGGCAACCUGGUCCUUGACUGACGCUGAGGCGCGAAAGCGUGGGGAGCAAACAGGAUUAGAUACCCCCGUAGUCCCUGUCUCUUAUAC